rnacentral:rRNA from 1 species
AACGUACGCUGGCGGCACGCCUAACACAUGCAAGUCGAACGAAGUAGCAAUACUUAGUGGCAGACGGGUGAGUAACAUGUAGGUAUCUGCCCUUUGGCCUGGAAUAACACGAGGAAACUUGUGCUAAUACCGGAUAAGUCUUUACGGAGAAAGCUUUAUGCACCAUUGGAUGAGCCUGCACUUGAUUAGUUUGUUGGUGGGGUAAUGGCCUACCAAGACUGUGAUCAAUAGCUGAUUUGAGAGGAUGAUCAGCCACAUUGGGACUGAGACACGGCCCAAACUCCUACGGGAGGCAGCAGUGGGGAAUCUUGCACAAUGGAGGAAACUCUGAUGCAGCGAUGCCGCGUGAGUGAAGAAGGCCCUUGGGUUGUAAAGCUCUUUCGUCGGGGAAGAAAAUGACUGUACCCGAAUAAGAAGGUCCGGCUAACUUCGUGCCAGCAGCCGCGGUAAUACGAAGGGACCUAGCGUAGUUCGGAAUUACUGGGCUUAAAGAGUUCGUAGGUGGUUGAAAAAGUUAGUGGUGAAAUCCCAGAGCUUAACUCUGGAACUGCCAUUAAAACUUUUCAGCUAGAGUAUGAUAGAGGAAAGCAGAAUUUCUAGUGUAGAGGUGAAAUUCGUAGAUAUUAGAAAGAAUACCAAUUGCGAAGGCAGCUUUCUGGAUCAUUACUGACACUGAGGAACGAAAGCAUGGGUAGCGAAGAGGAUUAGAUACCCUCGUAGUCCAUGCCGUAAACGAUGUGUGUUAGACGUUGGAAAUUUAUUUUCAGUGUCGCAGGGAAACCGAUAAACACACCGCCUGGGGAGUACGACCGCAAGGUUAAAACUCAAAUGAAUUGACGGGGACCCGCACAAGUAGUGGAGCAUGUGGUUUAAUUCGAAGAUACGCGCAGAACCUUACCAACACUUGACAUGUUCGUCGCGACUCUAAGAGAUUAGAGUUUUCGGUUCGGCCGGACGAAACACAGGUGCUGCAUGGCUGUCGUCAGCUCGUGUCGUGAGAUGUUGGGUUAAGUCCCGCAACGAGCGCAACCCUCACUUUUAGUUGCCAUCAUUAAGUUGGGCACUCUGAAAGAACUGCCAGUGAUAAGCUGGAGGAAGGUGGGGAUGACGUCAAGUCCUCAUGGCCCUUACGUGUUGGGCUACACACGUGCUACAAUGGUAUCUACAACAGGAAGCAAGACUGCGAAGUUAAGCAAAUCCCUAAAAGAUACCUCAGUUCGGAUUGCACUCUGCAACUCGAGUGCAUGAAGCUGGAAUUACUAGUAAUCGUGGAAUCAGCGUGCCACGGUGAAAUGCGUUCCCGGGUCU